GAUGUGAAAGACCCGGGGCGUCAACCUCGGAAUAGCAUUUGAAACUGGCAGACUAGAGUACUGUAGAGGGGGGUAGGAAGUUUCAGGUGUAGCGGUGAAAUGCGUAGAGAUCUGAAGGAAUACCGGUGGCGAAGGCGGCCCCCUCGGACAGAUACUGACACUCAGAUGCGAAAGCGUGGGGAGCAAACAGGAUUAGAUACCCCUGGUAG
rnacentral:rRNA from 1 species